rnacentral:rRNA from 1 species
GAAAGAUUCAUCGGAAGAGGAUGGGCAUGCGGCGCAUUAGCUUGACGGCGGGGUAACGGCCCACCGUGGCGACGAUGCGUAGGGGUUCUGAGAGGAAGGUCCCCCACACUGGUACUGAGACACGGACCAGACUCCUACGGGAGGCAGCAGUGAGGAAUAUUGGUCAAUGGGAGAGAUCCUGAACCAGCCAAGCCGCGUGAGGGAAGACGGCCCUAUGGGUUGUAAACCUCUUUUGUCGGAGAACAAAACCCGGGACGUGUCCCGGACUGCGUGUAUCCGAAGAAAAAGCAUCGGCUAACUCCGUGCCAGCAGCCGCGGUAAUACGGAGGAUGCGAGCGUUAUCCGGAUUUAUUGGGUCUAAAGGGUGCGUAGGCGGUCUGUUAAGUCAGCGGUAAAAUUGCGGGGCUCAACCCCGUCGAGCCGUUGAAACUGGCAGACUUGAGUUGGCGAGAAGUACGCGGAAUGCGCGGUGUAGCGGUGAAAUGCAUAGAUAUCGCGCAGAACUCCGAUUGCGAAGGCAGCGUACCGGCGCCAGACUGACGCUGAGGCACGAAAGCGUGGGGAUCGAACAGGAUUAGAUACCCUGGUAGUCCACGCAGUAAACGAUGAAUGCUGGUUGUCCGGGUCGAAUGAGACCUGGGCGGCGA